rnacentral:lncRNA from 1 species
AGCCUUGUGUCCCGUAGGUUGGCUCUCACUGUACUCAUUGGUGCUGCCGCUGUUGGCUCUAAGGUUUCUCCUGCUGAUGCUGCCUAUGGUGAAGCUGGUAAUUAUCUUCCUUUUUCUUUUUCCUUUCUUUAUCAGCCGUACGUUUAGGCUCAUGAACCCUAGCUAGCAUGAAGAGAUAAUGAUAUUAAUUUAAGUGAAUGAAAAUGAGUGGGUUGAUUUGGAUGCAGCAAAUGUAUUUGGAAAGCCAAAAACAGACACAGACUUCAUGCCAUACAGUGGGGAUGGAUUCAAGCUCUCGAUACCAUCGAAAUGGAACCCAAGCAAAGAGGUGGAGUUCCCAGGUCAAGUGCUGAGGUACGAGGACAACUUCGACACCACCAGCAAUUUGAGCGUCAUGAUCACUCCCACGGACAAGAAGUCCAUCACCGACUACGGUUCCC